rnacentral:rRNA from 1 species
GGACUACUGGGGUAUCUAAUCCUGUUUGCUACCCUAGCCUUCGCGCCUCAGCGUCAGUUACAACCCAGCUAACCGCCUUCGCCACUGGUAUUCCUCCCGAUAUCUACGCAUUUCACCACUACACCGGGAAUUCUGUUAGCCUCUUUUGCACUCUAGUUUAGCAGUCUCCGAUGACCCUCUCCGGUUAAGCCGAAGGCUUUCACAUCGAACUUGCUAUACCGCCUACUCGCCCUUUACGCCCAGUAAUUCCGGACAACGCUUGCUCCCUACGUAUUACCGCGGCUGCUGGCAC